rnacentral:lncRNA from 1 species
AUGUUGUAUUCUGGUUAUCGAAAAGAAGUUGUCCAUAUGCAUUUGUUGUGUAUUUGUCGCUGCAGUAUUGUUAUUAAUCUAUAAUUCUGGAUUCGCUGCAUAAUUUACAUAAUGAUACGCAUGUGCUGUUGUUUUGUGCUGUUGUGAUGUGCUGUUGUGAUGAUUACAUUUUUCAUUUCAAUUACAAUUUUGGUGAAAUCGUAAGUUGUUGAAACUAGUACGAUGAUUAUGGUUGUGCGUUUAUGAUUAUUUCAAUUUCGGUUGUGCAUUUGCUGAGUUAAACUAGUACGAUGAUUAUGGUUGUGCGUUUAUGAUUAUUUCAAUUUCGGUUGUGCAUUUGCUGAGUUGCGGGUCUGGAUCGAUUAUCCGUUUGAAUGUAUAGCUUGUUGGACUUGUAAAUUAAUGUCAACGGUGUUUUUAGUGUUGCUGUUGUUGUUUUUGUGAAAAUUACAUGAUUACCGUAACAUGAUACGUGCCUCUUGGCUGGACGCGUGACUUUAGGAAAAUUGAAAUUAUCAUCACCAUAUAUACUGUUACGGUAACAUUUCCCAUUUGUCAUUAUAUUUCCUAUAGAUUAUAAUAGAAUUGGUUUAUUUUUGUUAAGUUUUAAUUAUUACUGUUAGUAAAGCAUUAUAACAUAAUUUGGUUUGUUUUAAUAAUAGAUUUUUUUAGUUGUUCCAAUAUUAACUUUUAGGAUUGAGUCAUUAUAUGUUUGUAUUAUAUUUGUUAGAAAUAGUUUAUAUUAUGGACCUUCAUUUUGUUUACUACUGUUAUAGUAUUUGUAAUUAAAUAAUUAGGUAGAAG